CCUACGGGAGGCAGCAGUGGGGAAUCUUCCGCAAUGGGCGAAAGCCUGAUGCAGCGACGCCGCGUGAGGGAUGAAGGUCUUCGGAUCGUAAACCCCUGUUAGUAGGGAAGAACGGUCAUUGUGGUAACUAUUAGUGUAUCGACGGUAUCUGCACAGGAAGCCCCGGCUAACUCCGUGCCAGCAGCCGCGGUAAUACGGAGGGGGCGAGCGUUAUCCGGAUUUAUUGGGCGUAAAGGGAUCGUAGGCGGUAUGUUAAGUCAGAUGUGAAAUCCCUCGGCUCAACGGGGGUAGUGCAUUUGAAACUGGCAGACUUGAGUGCAGAAGAGGAGAGUGGAAUUCGAGGUGUAGGGGUGAAAUGCGUAGAUAUCUGGAAGAACAUCAGUGGCGAAGGCGGCUCUCUGGCCUGUAACUGACGCUGAGGUUCGAAAGCGUGGGUAGCAAACAGGAUUAGAUACCCGGGUAGUC
rnacentral:rRNA from 1 species